AUUAUUGAAUGACGUUUUGCUUUAUUGCAAGUUCACGUUUCAUUUGGCCUCCUAAUAAUUACACCCUCACUUACCAUUGGUUAAAGAGUUCUGAAAUUAAUAUUACAUUUUUGAAACGUGUUUGUAAGUUGCUUAAGUGAUCCAAAGAGUUGUUUAUGUGCACCGAAUGCAAUUCAAGUUCUUUCUUUUCACAAAUUUAGAGCCAUACAUAUGAAUGGGAAAUUAUACAUGUUUCUGUUCCAAAAUCAUGAUUAGGAAUAGGUAUGAUAUUUAAUUACAAAUUGCAAAACCAAGUUUUGACCAAAAGAAAAUGUCGUGUAACUUGAAUCCAUCCAACUAGAGAGAGAGUGUCGAACCAGAACCAUAGCUUACAUUGAAUUAAAUUCAUGCUAAGUGUGCAAGUCACUUUAUCGUCAUCCUCCUCGCGCUCGCACCAAGACGACUUGUGCAUAACCUGUAAGAAAAACAAAGGACAUAUUCAGUGAAAAUCCUGCAUUUUCUUGAUAAGCAGUAUACAUAGCCAUUUGGACUAUCAACCAAAGUCAAAAGAAAAAGAGUAAAUACCAGCUUAUAUCAAAACCCGUUUGAAACAAUAAAGAGAUAUUAAAAAGUUGAAAAUUGUUUGUUAAUGCUAAUGGGGACCACCCAAGCUUGACAGAUACGAAGACCUCACUAUAGACAAAAAUAAACCAAUUCAAACCUAACAGAUUGGCAAGAUACCAAAUCGUAGGGAGAUGAAAAUCUAACGGAAUGAUCCUAUAAUCCCUGCCAGCUCCCAAUCGAAAGAACCACAUGCACCCAUCUAUAAGAGAGGGAGUUCAAUCAUUGAAGAGGGGGGACCGUUAUUCUGCAAAAAUUUCCAAGAACACCUUUCAGAAAAGCUCACGAUUUUUUUAAAUCUACAUUAGAGUUUCACGCUGAAAUUCUAACGUCGAUGAGCUCAGACCAACACAGAAACUAAUAGCAAACAGAGAAGAGCAGAGAAGAAGAAGAAGGAGAAAGUUCGGAGAAAGGACUUAUCUGAACCGCGUCGAAGGAUAUCUCAC
rnacentral:lncRNA from 1 species